rnacentral:rRNA from 1 species
AUUGAACGCUGGCGGCAGGCCUAACACAUGCAAGUCGGGCGGAUGAAGGGAGCUUGCUCCUGGAUUCAGCGGCGGACGGGCGAGUAAUGCCUAGGAAUCUGCCUGGUAGUGGGGGAUAACGUCCGGAAACGGGCGCUAAUACCGCAUACGUCCUGAGGUAGAAAGUGGGGGAUCUUCGGACCUCACGCUAUCAGAUGAGCCUAGGUCGUAUUAGCUAGUUGGUGAGGUAAAGGCCUACCAAGGCGACGAUCCGUAACUGAUCUGAGAGGAUGAUCAGUCACACUGGAACUGAGACACGGUCCAGUCUCCUACGGGAGGCAGCAGUAGGGAAUAUUGGACAAUGGGCGAAUGCCUGAUGCAGCAAUGCCGCGUGUGUGAAGAAGGUCUUCGGAUUGUAAAGCACUUUUAGUUGGGAAGAAGGGCAGUAAGUUAAUACCUUGCUGUUUUGACGUUACCAACAGAAUAAGCACCGGCUAACUUCGUG